AGUCGAGCGAAUGGAUUAAGAGCUUGCUCUUAUGAAGUUAGCGGCGGACGGGUGAGUAACACGUGGGUAACCUACCCAUAAGACUGGGAUAACUCCGGGAAACCGGGGCUAAUACCGGAUAAUAUUUUGAACUGCAUAGUUCGAAAUUGAAAGGCGGCUUCGGCUGUCACUUAUGGAUGGACCCGCGUCGCAUUAGCUAGUUGGUGAGGUAACGGCUCACCAAGGCGACGAUGCGUAGCCGACCUGAGAGGGUGAUCGGCCACACUGGGACUGAGACACGGCCCAGACUCCUACGGGAGGCAGCAGU
rnacentral:rRNA from 1 species